UGGGGGAUAGUUUAAUCGGCAAAACACCUGACUCUGGAUCAGGCGUUCGGGGUUCGAAUCCCUGUCCCCCAG
rnacentral:tRNA from 1 species